CACCCCCUUCCCAUCAUCACUAUCUCCCCCACGCCUUAUGAUUGCUUCUUCUCCUUUCUCCCCUUUCAGGGCUCUGUUUCUUGGAUGUUGUUCGAUCCGUCUACCUCGCGACCGAGUCGCCUCGGCUCCCUAUUGGUACCAUCUCCUUCCGGUCCCUCCCGUCUAUGUACCGAUAUAUAGUUCUCAUGUUGGUUUUCGAUUUGCUCCUGCGAACGAGAUUGUUUGAUGCCAUCUUUCAGAUCCUCAUGGACCGCAACUCUCUUGAGCUAACCAUAGACAGUUAUCAUCUUAAUUUUAGUGUUUCCUUUGCAAUAGUGAUGCCUGUAUGGUAUUCUUGAUGUCAUGUAGCUGCACAGUGCUGCUAUGCUAGAUUCUACUUGAUGAAAUCGGACAAGCUUCGAAGGCCAUCUAGUGGAUUUGGGAAGCUUGUUCUUGUUAAAAAGGCAUGUUCACCAUUUAAUCUUGCAUUAGGUGGAGAGGGGACUGUAAGGGAUUCAUGCUAUUCGUUUGACUCUUCUGGUGAGAUACACUUCUCUAUUUGCAGAUA